CCUACGGGGGGCUGCAGUGGGGAAUAUUGCACAAUGGGGGAAACCCUGAUGCAGCGACGCCGCGUGAGUGAAGAAGUAUUUCGGUAUGUAAAGCUCUAUCAGCAGGGAAGAAAAUGACGGUACCUGACUCAGAAGCCCCGGCUAACUACGUGCCAGCAGCCGCGGUAAUACGUAGGGGGCAAGCGUUAUCCGGAUUUACUGGGUGUAAAGGGAGCGUAGACGGCCAGACAAGUCAGAAGUGAAAGCACAGGGCUCAACCCUGGGACUGCUUUUGAAACUGCCGGGCUGGAGUGCAGGAGAGGUAAGCGGAAUUCCUAGUGUAGCGGUGAAAUGCGUAGAUAUUAGGAGGAACACCAGUGGCGAAGGCGGCUUACUGGACUGUAACUGACGUUGAGGCUCGAAAGCGUGGGGAGCAAACAGGAUUAGAUACCCGGGUAGUC
rnacentral:rRNA from 1 species